rnacentral:rRNA from 1 species
UGAUGACGUAAGUCCAAAGAUUUAUCGCCGAGGGAUGAGCCCGCGUAGGAUUAGGUAGUUGGUGUGGUAAAGGCGCACCAAGCCGACGAUCCUUAGCUGGUCUGAGAGGAUGAUCAGCCACACUGGGACUGAGACACGGCCCAGACUCCUACGGGAGGCAGCAGUGGGGAAUAUUGGACAAUGGGCGAAAGCCUGAUCCAGCAAUGCCGCGUGAGUGAUGAAGGCCUUAGGGUUGUAAAGCUCUUUUACCCGGGAUGAUAAUGACAGUACCGGGAGAAUAAGCACCGGCUAACUACGUGCCAGCAGCCGCGGUAAUACGUAGGGUGCGAGCGUUAUCCGGAUUUAUUGGGCGUAAAGGGCUCGUAGGCGGUUCGUCGCGUCCGGUGUGAAAGUCCAUCGCCUAACGGUGGAUCUGCGCCGGGUACGGGCGGGCUGGAGUGCGGUAGGGGAGACUGGAAUUCCCGGUGUAACGGUGGAAUGUGUAGAUAUCGGGAAGAACACCAAUGGCGAAGGCAGGUCUCUGGGCCGUCACUGACGCUGAGGAGCGAAAGCGUGGGGAGCGAACAGGAUUAGAUACCCUGGUAGUCCACGCCGUAAACGGUGGAUGCUGGAUGUGGGGCCCUUUCCACGGGUCCCGUGUCGGAGCCAACGCGUUAAGCAUCCCGCCUGGGGAGUACGGCCGCAAGGCUAAAACUCAAAGAAAUUGACGGGGGCCCGCACAAGCGGCGGAGCAUGCGGAUUAAUUCGAUGCAACGCGAAGAACCUUACCUGGGCUUGACAUGUGCCGGAUCGCCGUGGAGACACGGUUUCCCUUCGGGGCCGGUUCACAGGUGGUGCAUGGUCGUCGUCAGCUCGUGUCGUGAGAUGUUGGGUUAAGUCCCGCAACGAGCGCAACCCUCGCCGCAUGUUGCCAGCGGGUGAUGCCGGGAACUCAUGUGGGACCGCCGGGGUCAACUCGGAGGAAGGUGGGGAUGACGUCAGAUCAUCAUGCCCCUUACGUCCAGGGCUUCACGCAUGCUACAAUGGCCGGUACAACGCGGUGCGACACGGUGACGUGGGGCGGAUCGCUGAAAACCGGUCUCAGUUCGGAUCGCAGUCUGCAACUCGACUGCGUGAAGGCGGAGUCGCUAGUAAUCGCGGAUCAGCAACGC